rnacentral:rRNA from 1 species
UGGGGAAUUUUGCGCAAUGGGCGAAAGCCUGACGCAGCAACGCCGCGUGAGUGAUGAAGGCCUUCGGGUCGUAAAGCUCUGUCAGAGGGGAAGAAAUGUGGGGGGGUUAAUACCUGUUUGGCUUGACGGUACCCUCAAAG